UACGUAGGGCGCAAGCGUUAUCCGGAAUUAUUGGGCGUAAAGGGUGCGUAGGCGGCGCGGUAAGUCGGGUGUGAAAUCUCGGAGCUUAACUCCGAAACUGCAUUCGAUACUGCCGUGCUUGAGGACUGGAGAGGAGACUGGAAUUUACGGUGUAGCGGUGAAAUGCGUAGAUAUCGUAAGGAAGACCAGUGGCGAAGGCGGGUCUCUGGACAGUUCCUGACGCUGAGGCACGAAGG
rnacentral:rRNA from 1 species